rnacentral:rRNA from 1 species
GCCUUUAUAGGUAAAAGGGCGUAAAGGGUGUGUAGGCCGACAAUUCCCCCCCCAAGGUGGUAAAUGGAAUUUUUCUGUAACGGUAGAAUGUGUGGAUAGAAAAUAGAACCCCAAAGGCAAAAGCAAUUUACCUCGGGGAUGGGGGGAAACCAGAGAUUCCCAUCGGGACCUAUCACUCCCCCCGAGCACAGGCUGAAACACGAGGGUGUGGGGAACAAACAGGAUUAGAGACCCUGGUAGUCCACACUGUAAACGAUGAAGAAAAUGUUAAUGCAACCCCGAAAGGUAGUAAUCUUCCGCCUGAGUAGUACGAUCGCAAGAUUAAAAUUCAAAAAAUUUGGCUGUUCACUGUUUCGAUUAGAGGAGCGUGUAGUUUAAUUCGAUAAACCGCGAGAUACCUUACCCAAACUUGAAUCACCCAUCCGAGAUUGAAUGGUCUCGGGGGGGUAGACCGGUAUUGCAUGGCCGUCGUCAGUUCGUGUAUGAAACCUUUAACGGACCUAACCCGAGGGGUUAGCCGCGGAUGAAGUCAGGUCUUAUGAUCCCUAUGUUUGGGGAUAAUAUGCGCUACAUUUUCUUAUACAAUGGGAAACCUGAAAGGUGAAACCCCAAAGUAGGAGUUCGGUAGGUCAUUGUAAGAUGACCGAAAGUUGAAUUUAAUAGUAAUCGGAAAGUAGAGCGUUCCGGUGAAUGUCU